rnacentral:rRNA from 1 species
UACGAGGGGGGUAAGCGUUGUUCGGAAUUACUGGGCGUAAAGGGCUCGUAGGCGGCCAACUAAGUCAUACGUGAAAUCCCUCAGCUUAACUGGGGAACUGCGUGUGAUACUGGAUGGCUUGGAUUUGGGAGAGGGAUGUGGAAUUCCAGGUGUAGCGGUGAAAUGCGUAGAUAUCUGGAGGAACACCGGUGGCGAAGGCGGCAUCCUGGACCGAGAUCGACGCUGAGGCGCGAAAGCUAGGGGAGCAAACGGG